CAAGGCAACCCGCUGAACUUAAGAAUU
rnacentral:rRNA from 1 species